GACGUAGGGCGCGAGCGUUGUCCGGAUUUAUUGGGCGUAAAGAGCUCGUAGGCGGCUUGUCGCGUCGACUGUGAAAUCCCGCGGCUCAACUGCGGGUCUGCAGUCGAUACGGGCAGGCUAGAGUUCGGUAGGGGAGACUGGAAUUCCUGGUGUAGCGGUGAAAUGCGCAGAUAUCAGGAGGAACACCGGUGGCGAAGGCGGGUCUCUGGGCCGAUACUGACGCUGGAGGGAGCGAAAAGCGUGGGGGAGC
rnacentral:rRNA from 1 species